UGUGUGUGUGUGUGUAUAUGUGUGUGUGUGUUGGUAUACAUGGUUUAACCUGCCUUUUGACCUGAAUACUGUGUCUCAGUGUGUGUGUAUGUGUGU